rnacentral:rRNA from 1 species
AUAAAACUUAAUCACCUAGUAGGAUGAUUAUUUUAUUUUAUUUGUCGAUAAGAACUAUUUUAUUUUUUUUUAUUUUAAGAAACAAAUAAUAGUUUUUCACCCAUUAAUUUUUUACUUUAUUAUCCUUAUUAAUAAUUCUAUUAUUUAUCUCUUUUACUUCCUCUUUAUAUUCUUUUAUGUUUUAAAUAUUUAAGAUUACUUUGUUAUAAAAACAAUUUUUCAAAUUAUCGUAGUGAUUUACCAACAUUUUAAGGUUCUUUAGGUUGAAAUAAUCCAGGAAAAGCUCAAACUUAUAUAGAAUUUUAGAAAGCAAGAUUUUAUCAUAUUUUACGAUGAGAUUAAUUUUAAGAUUAUCGUUAAUUUUCUUUUAAUUAUUAUUUUUAUUAAUUUUUAAUUAAUUUUAAUGUAAAAUUAAUUCUCAAAUACUAAAUAUUUUAUUAAAAAAAUCCAGGAAAGCAUGACAUUUUUAUAUAUUUUUCUAUCUUUGGCUGGACCAAAUGUGGCCAGACUUGAGUUAAGUACAUUAAUAAAUUUUCAGCUUGUCUGAAGGAUCUUAAUGAUAACGCAUUAA